rnacentral:tRNA from 1 species
UAAUGAGUAGUUUAAGAAAAACGAUAGGUUGUGGUUCUAUAAAUAGAUUAUAAUUGCUCUCAUUAG